GGUGGCUCAGUGGUAGAGCGCUUGCCUUGCUUGCAUGGGGCCCUGGGUUCGAUUCCUCAGCACCA
rnacentral:tRNA from 1 species